UCAUCUGGGCGCUUGGAUCGACGUUUCCAUCGCUGUUCUAGAGCUGACCUCUGAUUGGGCACUUCAGUGCUUAGAACGCUCACCCUGAACAGCUGUUAUCCUGCGAAUAAAGGUUUGAAGGCUGCUUAUUGGAUGAAUAAAGAUAAGAAGCCAUUUUCUAUGGAUCCACUGAUCAUCAUCUUCUCAAACCAGAAGGCUCGUUCCUACAAGCACAUCUGAGUCCUGCAAGCAGGUAAUUUGUGUUUAACUAUAUAUAUUUUUGUAUAACAUUUAUAAUUUUUAAAUUAAAUUUU
rnacentral:lncRNA from 1 species